AUUUUUGGAAUACGGACGGAUUUUUAAGGAUUCAUCUUUAUUUUUAUAAUCAUUUUUUCUUUUCCACGCAAAAUAUGUAACGCGCAUACGUAAAUGUUGUUUGUGGCAUAUUGAAAAUUCAAUAAACAUCAAAUGGCUUUGGCACUCAUCUACUCAUACACUCAAAAAUAAAAAGAGGAAUCCCAACACCCGCUAAAAAAAAAUCAACCUCAUAAAUGUAUCUGUGUAUAUUUGGACCACUGCUGCUGUCUGAAUUUUGGAAUGCAAAAGAUUUAAAUGGCGUUUCCCAUGCAUCCUGCUCCCUUUAAAGCUUCAGCUAUGUGUUGUCGUUUUUUUUAAUGUUAUUAAUGUUAUCAAUGUUUAACCGAACGCACCCAUGAAAAGCCCACUACUUGCAUUAAUUCUCUGGCGGCAUCGGCAGCAAACAAUAGAUUUCUUGCCGGCUACUCAACCACCCUUCUUGUCCAGCUCUCUAACACCGUGGUCAUGCCAGUACCAUCCCUUCCGGCUCUGCUGCUGCUUACUGCGCU
ensembl:ncRNA lncRNA:CR43910 long non-coding RNA:CR43910